GUGGGGAAUAUUGCACAAUGGGGGAAACCCUGAUGCAGCGACGCCGCGUGAGUGAAGAAGUAUUUCGGUACGUAAAGCUCUAUCAGCAAGGAAGAAAAUGACGGUACUUGACUAAGAAGCCCCGGCUAACUACGUGCCAGCAGCCGCGGUAAUACGUAGGGGGCAAGCGUUAUCCGGAUUUACUGGGUGUAAAGGGAGCGUAGACGGUAUGGUAAGUCAGAUGUGAAAGCCCGGGGCUCAACCCCGGGACUGCAUUUGAAACUAUCAGACUGGAGUGCAGGAGAGGUAAGUGGAAUUCCUAGUGUAGCGGUGAAAUGCGUAGAUAUUAGGAGGAACACCAGUGGCGAAGGCGGCUUACUGGACUGUAACUGACGUUGAGGCUCGAAAGCGUGGGGAGCAAACAGGAUUAGAUACCCGAGUAGUCC
rnacentral:rRNA from 1 species